UAUUAGUAUUGUUUAGAUAAUUGAAUUUUUCAGCUAGUGUUUCGAUUUACAAUACGCUACAUAUAGCUGACAUUUUUUUUCCAGGCGGAUCGUUGAUAAGUUUUUGUUGAAAGCCGCUUCAGCAUAUUUUUUGUUCGAAUACAUUUCUCGAUAUGGCCGAUGGAUCGAUUGUAUUUUGCUCACUUUCACCGAAAAAUAAACCCCGAACGUGCGAGAAUGAGAGGGAAGAAGGGUGAAACCGGGUGGUGAGUUCGAUUCUCUUUCCGCCCCACCACCGGUUUUCCCGCGGAACAGCCGCAUGCGCCGUAAAAAAGCACGGCCGCUACGAGUUUCGUUUCACUCUUCGGGGUUCGUCUACCCAUUGCCCGAUAAAAAAGCUUCGCUUGCGCGGCUCUCGUUCGUCGCGGACAUAACUGUCCGUCCGCGGUUCGUGCCUUUAUCAUCAUUCGCCGUCGUCAUCAUCGCCGUCGUCGACGUUGUUAUCUUCGUUGCGCAAACGCCUCGUCAUCGUCGUGCAAUUGUCGUCUCGUGUUGUUUCGAGGGAAGGAACGAGACGAAUAGUCGAGAACGAAGAAGAGUGCAGCGGCUUUGUGCCGACAGGGAUGUCGCGAUGCGAAGAAAGAAGUGCGUCCAUACGAGUGUGGACGGAUGAGAAUCGGGACGAGGAGGUGGGGGACAACGGACGGUGAGAGAGAGUGUUAAGAAGAUGAAAAUAUCCGGCUCCGGAUGCUGCGAGCGGCGUCUUUCCGCCCGCCACCUACGUACGUUUCGCUACAAUCGUCGUGACCGACGUCCAUGGUGGCUUCCAGUACGUCGGCGAUAAGGGUUGCUUCUCGGUGGAAAGCCGUGGGAUACGAGUAAUGGCGAUAAAAGAAUAUCUCCGUAAAGGUAAGACGAUUCCGACAAAGUUAAAUGGUAACAACAAAACAUUAAUUUUAUAUUAGCUUAAUUAACUAAUUAUAUAUGCUUAAUUAAUUAUGAAUUGCGGAAAUGGACGUAUAAGACAUGCAAAAAAAAAUUAAUAUAAUGUAUAGAUAUUAUAAAGAUAUGUAAUGUGUAUACAUAUCUUUAAUAUCUUGUGUUAAGGAUUUUUGUUGUUUUGAAAGCAUUUAAAAUUUAUUUGCAUUAUAUUAAUAAUAAAGUAAGAUGAAUUAACUUGAAUUUAUGAUUAGAUAUUUACUUUGAUGUUCUGCAUAUAAGUUAAGGUUUAUAUAAUAGGAACGUUUAGAUUAAGUUUCUGUAUUUAAUUAUUACUUAUUAAUAGCAACAAAGUGCAAUUAGUACUAUUUAAUAUUUCAAUUAAAUUGUGAUUGUAUUAAAAAAAAAAACGAGUAGCUCCCUUAAUACAUAUCCCUGAAUUGAAUGAAAAAUAAAGAUAUCCACUUUCUAACCGA